CAACUGAUAACAUCCAAUUGAUAACAAGGCGGGCGUGAUUGACUCCAAAAGGACAUCAUCAAGCUAGUGGGCAUGUAAUUCUCCCGAGCAUCGCGCAGUCUAAACUCUUUCAAUCUCCACUCGGGCCGUGUUCCCUCAAAAUUUAAAGUGAAUGUGACAUUUUUAACGAUUCCUUCUCUAAUCCUCAUAUCUUCACUUUGAAUCAUACCGUCGAAAGUGCCUGAAAAAUUAGUGCGAGAACACGCUACAGGCUGCGAACUGAUGAAGGGUAUCUUGGAUGAAGAGGCUCCGUAUAUUUUACAAAACGAAACGUGGGAGUAUCCAGGUUUCCCCUAUCCAGUCGAGCCUCUAACCUUCUGUGAGACUGACAAUACAACCAAAAUAAACGGAAAAGUGGACAAGUGCACUGAAAACAAAGAACAUCAAGACAGAGGUUACUCGCGUGUUUCAACUUCUUGAAGGUCCGAAAGGAAAAACUAGUGAUAAAUUCUAUUAGGCCCAUCUACAACAGCCUGGUAAAUACAAACUUCAUUCGAAUUCUUGAUGAUGUGGAUCAGCUCAAAUAGAACCCUCGGAAAAUAUUGCUUCUCAGAGCUAAAACUUCAGCUCCAUUGAAGUCAAACCAAUGAUCUUUAGAGUCCUAAUGCGGUGGUGUAAUGCCGUUUUCUUCGCUUUCUUAUACCGAUGUGAAAAUAAUAUUUUUUCAAGGUUUGUUUUUUCUGCCCGAUGUAUCCCUGGUAAAAAUGCGUGGUGCUUAGAUCAGUAGCAAUCGCCUUUCGAACAGACCUUAACACUGAUGUCAGUACUUUCUGGCUCUGAACUGAUAGGUCAGUUUUAGGUCUAUUCCAAUGGCACCAAUAUACUUGUGAGCCUGGAUUGAUGUUUGGUUGAAGUAGUUACAUUGCUGGGGCUGGAAUGGAUGGAGCGGUGUGAAACAUGUGGCGAACAUUGUCUGCAACACGCCUAGCGCGUCUUUUUUCAUAGCGUUUCCAUAGAAAAUAUAGUCCUGCAAGGAUGAUGAGGCUUAUAACGCCGAAUUGCAAAUGAUCAUAUAUCGAAGAGGAAAACGAUGGAUUUUACCCCGUGUUUAUUAUUGCUAUUUUUUCGUCUGGCCCUAUUAUGCCCAUUUCUGAUAUCUCUACAACAAUAGCUGAACUGUCCGUAAGGUUGAUUUGCGUAGUUGGUUGUGAUGGGGCUUCCGAAAACGCAGCACAGGCAGGACUGAGGGGGUGGUCCCAACACCACAGGGUAGUGAACCAACUUCUAUCCAGUUUGUGGCUUACUGGGUGAGACUUCAGGACCACUGGAAAAAUUUCGGGUUGUGGCGGAUGACGUAUUAGAAAACCCGCAAAGUGUCGAGGAAGAAGGAACAGAAUGAAACUGGUGUACGCGGGCUUCGUUUAUUUCGUUGUCAGAACGCGCGGAGAUAUGGUUUUCGUACACACCAUUUGGUUGCUUUCAUUUUUUGCUUUUUAUUUAGACUUAAGGAAACUAAGAAGUGAGUACAACAGAAAACUCAUGUUUAUUAAAAAUUUCAGUUACAUUUUUUGACAAAAAAGGCAAAUGUGGGAGCGAAAUCAAUUUUACCCAGUCAAUUCUCCUUUCAGGCUUCACAUAGGCUUCAUGUCCUUUAAUUUCUUUCUUGCACAUUGCUCUUUAAAAUGCUCUGUCAAUGAGGGGGAAAAUUUUUCAACUAAAAAUUUUUUACUCAUGUGGAUCGUCUCAGGUAAAAAUUGAUAAUCUGAAAGUCGGACAAUUCGCUGCGCCAGAUUUGAAACAAACUUUUUCUUAUAAGCAUCUGGUUGCACGAUUUCACGGUUGUUGCGGUGUAGCAACGUAGUAAAAUGUAAAUAUGGUACCAAAAGCUGAUUCCAUCGUGCCGGUACCGUAACUAUUUGUCCGUUAAAAAGUUGUUCAUAAAACUCAAUCGUCGCAGAAAAAACCCUAACUGUUAAUUCUAGAUAUGCAAAUAUAGAAUGGAGCGUAUAACCUGGAGAUUAUUAAUCAAGUAUUCCCAAUGUUGUAUAAGUAUACUCAUGAACCCCCAAUGGCUCGAAUGAUGAGAGCUUUUUGUAUCCCUACGUAAACCAUGAUCAAAGGUGUUAACCAAAUACUGUCGGCGAGAAACACGUAGCUAAUUGCGAGCGCUACGUUAUCAUAACCACCAAUGUCUUCGUGUUCAGCCGUCAGUACUUCCUGUAUGGCAAUUCUUACAUGUAAUAGUAGGUAAAGUGUGGUCAAAUUGAAAAAUGAAAAAUUGUGCUUUGUAAAUGGUAUUGAAAAUGAAUGUUUCCCACGCAUCAUUUCUUACAAAGUGUCCUCGCAAAUCCCCAAUGGCUCCAAUGAUUAGAGCAUUUUUUAUCCCAACGUAGUUAUAAAAAAUAGAGUUAACACCUUGUAGUCCUCUAUAUAAUCAAUAAAGGAAAAAAAAGAAGAAGAAAAAAAAGGUAAAGCGUGGUUAAAUUGAAAAAUGAAAAAUUGUGUCAUGUAAAUGGUAUUGAAAAUUAAAGUUUCCCGCGCAUCUCUUCUUACGAAGUAUACUCACAAAUCCCCAAUGGCUCCAAUGAUUAGGGCAUUUUCUAUCCCUUUGUAAGUCAUUACUAUGGCUGUCAACCAAAUACUGCCGAAGAGAAACGCGUAGUUAAUGGCGAGACCUACGUUAUCAUAACCACCAAAGUCUUCGUGUUCAGCCGUCAGUACUUCCUGCGUGGCAAUACUUACAAGUAGUAGUAGGUUAAGCGUGGUCAAAUUGAAAAAUGAAAAAUAGUGUUUUGUGAAUGGUAUUGAAAAUUAAAGUUUUCCGCGCAUCUCUUAAUACGGAGUAUACUCACAAAUCCCCAAUGGCUCCAAUGAUUAGAGCAUUUUUUAUCCCAAUAAGUCAUCAUUGUGACUGUCAACCAAAUACUGCCGAAGAGAAACGCGUAGUUGAUGGCGAGACCUACGUAUCCAUCGCCGGCAAAGUCCUCGUUGUCAUCGUACAUACUUGCAGUCAGUAUUUUCUGUAAGGCAUUUACUGAGGGGUUUGGAGGACAUGGCUCAUAAGUGCAUGUUAUUGCUAUUUCGAGAAAUACGUGUUCGAAGUUUUGAAAUUGUACGGCGAUCCUUAUGAUGGAAAGAGAGUUCAAAAUGACUUUUUGAUACUUCAAAAUUGGACUUUGGGUGCAAUUUUUUUUUUUACAUAAUAUGCAUUUUGACUAGUUUUACUUGAAAUCAUUAAUAUCAUUAUAUUUUCAAAAACUGCACUUAUACGCCCUGUCCUCCUAGCCGCUCAAUUAUAAUUCGUAGUAGUCAUGUCAAAUUGAAUGAUGGAAAAUUGUGUUUUGUAAACGGUACCUAUUGAAAAUUAAAGUUUCCCACGUAUCUCUAAGAAA